GGGCGUUAAGGGCGCGUAGGCGGCUUUGACAAGUCAUUGUGAAUCUCCGGGCUUAACCGGAUACGGUCAACUGAUACUGUCGAGCUAGAGUGCAGAAGGGGCAACUGGAAUUCUCGGUGUAGCGGUGAAAUGCGUAGAUAUCGAGAGGAACACCUGCGGCGAAGGCGGGUUGCUGGGCUGGCACUGACGCUGAGGCGCGAAAGCUAGGGGAGCGAACGGGAUUAGAUACCCCGGUAGUCCUAGCCUUAAACGAUGAAUGCUUGGUGUCUCGGGUUUUAUAGUCCCGAGGUGCCGUCGCUAACGCAUUAAGCAUUCCGCCUGGGGAGUACGGUCGCAAGACUGAAACUCAAAGGAAUUGACGGGACCGCACAAGCGGUGGAGCUGUGGUUUAAUUCGACGCAACGCGAAGAACCUUACCUGGGCUAGAAUGCCUCUGACCGGCGUAGAGAUACGCCUUCCUGGGUAAAACAGGCAGAUGCAC
rnacentral:rRNA from 1 species